UUAAGCAGCAGAGUCAAACCCAGGCACCCUGCUCUGAGGAUGCAGGGCCAGACCUGAUGCUGUCGCACUGCCACGUGGCUCAGUAUUUAUCCUUGUGAAACUCUGGAAUAAUCGGAAAGGGAGGAAAAGAUAGAAACUUCUUCAGGGAGCCUUAUAGUCUAGGGCUUAAAAUACUGGUUUAAUGGUGAAGUGAAUUGACAGCAUGACAUAAAUGACCUACUGGAGUAACGAGUUUUAUCUCAGCACUACUCAUCUUUCAAAAAGAUAAAACACAGUCGUGGUGAAAGAGAUUCAAGACAAAGGGAAGUCCACAGACUGCGCCACCGCUUCCCAAAGGAACCAAAUGGACAAGAAGACUUCCAGCCGGAAAGGUCCAGAGUUCUGUUCGUUACGCUAUGGACUGGCUCUCAUCAUGCACUUCUCAAACUUCACGAUGAUAACCCAGCGUGUGAGUCUGAGCAUUGCAAUCAUUGCCAUGGUGAACAGCACUCAACAGCAUGGUCUGUCCAAUGCCUCCACAGAAGGACCUCUUGUGGACACUCUCAACAACCCCAGCAGAUCCAUGAAGGAAUUUAAUACAGGAGCCUCUGUGUAUGAAUGGAGCCCAGAGACUCAGGGUAUCAUCUUUAGCUCCAUCAGCUAUGGGAUAAUAGUGACUCUGAUCCCAAGUGGCUAUUUAGCAGGGAUCCUGGGAGCGAAACAGAUGCUCGGUGCUGGGCUGCUGAUCUCCUCCCUUCUCACCCUCUUUACGCCAUUGGCUGCUGACUUCGGAGUGAUUUUGGUUAUCGUGACUCGGACAAUCCAGGGCAUGGCCCAGGGAAUGGCAUGGACAGGUCAGUUUACAAUUUGGGCCAAGUGGGCUCCCCCACUUGAACGAAGUAAGCUCACCAGCAUUGCAGGCUCAGGGGCAGCAUUUGGGUCCUUCAUCAUCCUUUGCGUUGGGGGACUAAUCUCACAGGCCUUGGGCUGGCCUUUUAUCUUCUACAUCUUUGGUAGCAUUGGCUGUGUCUGCUGUCUCCUGUGGUUCACGGUGAUUUAUGAUGACCCCAUGCACCACCCAUGCAUAAGUGUCCAGGAAAAGGACUACAUCGUCGCCUCACUGGCUCAACAGUCCAGUUCUCCCAGACGAUCUGUCCCCAUAAAGGCUAUGGUCAGAUGCCUACCACUUUGGGCCAUUUUCACGGGGUUUUUCAGCCAUUUCUGGUUAUGCACCAUCAUCAUAACAUACCUGCCGACCUACAUCAGCUCUGUGCUCCACGUGAACAUCAGAGACAGUGGGGUUCUGUCCUCCCUGCCUUUCAUCGCUGCUUCAAGCUGUACGAUUCUAGGAGGCCAGUUGGCAGAUUUCCUUCUGUCCAGGAAACUUCUCAGAUUAAUCACUGUGCGAAAACUCUUUUCAUCCCUAGGGCUCCUCCUUCCAUCGCUAUGUGCCGUGGCCUUGCCCUUUGUGGCUUCCAGUUAUGUGACCACCAUUAUUUUGCUGAUACUCAUUCCUGGGACCAGCAACCUGUGUGAUUCAGGGUUCAUCAUCAACACCUUAGAUGUCGCCCCUAGGUAUGCAAGCUUCCUCAUGGGAAUCUCAAGGGGAUUUGGUCUCAUCGCGGGAAUUAUCUCCUCCACUGCCACUGGAUUCCUCAUCAGUCAGGAUUCUGUGUCUGGGUGGAGGAAUGUCUUCUUCCUGUCUGCUGCCGUCAACAUGUUUGGCAUGUUUUUUUACAUCACAUUUGGACAAGUAGAAAUCCAGGACUGGGCCAGAGAGAAGACCCUCACCCGCCUCUGAGGAUAUUGACCCGCAAACCAGAAUGCAGUGCUGACCACUAACUUUAGUGACAUUUUUUACGAAUCGUCAUUCUUCAUAUUCUUGGCCAUAGGCUCAGCGGUUCUCAACUCUGGCUGCGUGCUGGAUCCCCCUGGGGAGUGUCUAAACCACAUGGAGGACGGGGCCGCCCGCCAAGACUCCGAAUGAACUGGUCUGUGGGAGAGCCUAGGGGGCCCCAGGUCCUCAGACAUGCGCGGGCUUUCUAGCAUGCAGCCAGGGUCGACAGCUGCUGGACACACUGGAAACGUCAAUUCCUGUUGACUUUGAAGUCUCCUCUUUGGAAAGUACUGGCUGAAUAAAAUAUCUAUGUGAAAAUAAUCACGGAUAAGUCCCUUCAUAGGGGUGAUUAUGGACACAGAGAAGACCUGCUGGGAGCUGUAGUCAUACAGUAUAGAGCUCAGAAUGGAACAGAAAUUUAAGGCUGUAAUCCAUGGGAUUAACUUUUUUAUUAUUUGUAUGCAAUGUGUGAAACAUGGAUGUUUAUUUAUGUGGCUCAAUUCUAUUAAAAUUCACAUGCUAAAAUUAAAUAGACCAUUUUCAAAUUAUUUAGAUCAGGAUUAUUUCCAUCAGGCGAAACAGAUACCUACUUAUCCUUAGCUAGGUUCCGGGGAUCAAUGACUGGGAAAUGACCAGGCAGAGAUUAAACGGAUGAGGUUAACUAGAAAUCAAAGGAGAGAAAAGACAGAAUUGAAAGGCUCAAGGGGAGGCAAGAUGGGCACUUCCAGAAGGUACAUGGAGAUAGUUUGGACCAUGUCAUGAAAAUUGAAGGGAGACAACAGAGGCGCUUUCAAAUGAAAUCAUGAUUUAUAAGGAGAAGAAUACUGAAGGUAUGACAAGAUGGAAGAAACUGUACAAUGACUCACAUACCAGAAAGUUCCUUUUUCAAGAUUGAAAAAGAUUGUUUGACUUUCUUUCUAAUUUCCCAGGACUCAAAUAGUCAUCAUUGUCUCCAGCAGGAAAUAAUUGGGGUUCCUACCUCUUAAGACGCAUCCUCCAGGCUGUGAGAGCUAGUUCAUACACAGAGCUGACGCCAGUUUUGCUGCAACUGUUCUAGAAGAGAAAUUCCUGCCAUCUCUAAAAGCCCCACAGAACCACAGGAAUGGAAAUUUGGGCUAACCUAGCACAUGAAGAGAACCUCCUGACACAAAUCAACAGGUCUGAUCAAUGGAGCAGGCAGGAAGGAGCCACUUUGAUGUUCUUCCUGGCUGUCCCUUUCCUCCUCUUCCAUGGAACCAUCCAGCACCAGAGCAGAAGGAAAGGCAGCUGGAGAAUUGAUGCUGUCAGCUUUUGGAUCACAGUCUAAGUUGCCAAACAGCAACAGGAAUGAGCUCAGGCUUCCCACGCGAGUCCCUGGAAGCAUCUAUUGCCUCGGAGGUAAUAACUCAUGGAGUAAAACAAGCAUCUGUCGACUCCUGCCAUAUAUGCCUGAGGAAACUGGCCUCUGAGACACCUGGACAUCUCACCCAAGUUCAGUCUCCUUGGUUUCAUUACUAUUCUCUGAAUUUGUGCUCUGCACUUGUGGCAGUUAAUGUAUUAGUGUUGCAUUCUGUCCUUUCCAUACCAGGAUUACAUUCUGUUAAGUAUUAUAAUCGUCACUGUGAUUUGGAUGUAAUUUAAUUCCCCUAGGGCGAGGCAGGCCAGGUGCCCAAGGAGCGGCAUUUAAGGCGACAGUCUUUCUGAGGCUUGAGCAAGCACAGAAUUGGUCCAGGACAGUGAGCACCCCUUCAUUGUCAUACCCUGGGCACUUCUCAUGUUUUCCUUAGCCUAGUUCUGGCCACUGACUUUUUUCCUAUGACCACCCUCCUCCCCCUUCUUCUUCUCAAAAUAGUUCAAUAGAGAUUAUUUUGGAAAAGUACUUGGAUAAUCCCCUGAGUCCCAGAAUAGCAGAGUUUCUUUCUUAAUAUGCCACACUAUCAUUAUGGAGCUCAAUACAGUAAAAUAUUACAUUAGCCAGGAAAAAUUUCAUUUCACAAAACUUUCUGAUCCGUAUUGACUUCUUGCGAGUCUCUUCUGGUAGCUAAUACAAUAAGGAAGUCUGGCCAGACAACUAAUUUUUGUAGGACAGGUGUAUGUAGGUAGGUGUGAUAGGGUUCACUCUUUUCCCUGAAAUGCCAUACUUUCACCAAGAUGUCCAAGGUGUGAAUCACUUUCAAUUUGAUGUUGCCUUGAAUAUCAUGAGUAAUUUGCUUUUGGGUUACUUGUCUUGGAAUUUCCUUCAAUUUUUAAAAAAAUUAAUGAUUCUUCUCUAUUUGUUAAGAAUCCCUCAUCUAUUUAUCCGUAUCCUAAAACCUUGUUAUCUAUAUUCCAGUUUCCGCUGAUGUCAACCUUGGAUCUUUUACUUUGUCUUCUCCAUGCUGGAAUCACACUGACGCAUUUCCCAAGC